CAAAGAAUAGUUUAGUUUAGAAUCCUAGCUUUGGGAGUUGGGGGUAGGAGUUAAAAUCUCCUUUCUUUGA
rnacentral:tRNA from 2 species